rnacentral:piRNA from 1 species
UGUAUUGCUGCUGUUCGAUUU